CAAAAUUUUGCAAUAGGUUACCGAUGCUCCUAGUGUUCCUGCCAUUUAAAUUCUCAUAACUCAAACAAUAGUGAAGAUAAUGAAAACGUGAAUAUUAGAAGCUACUAAUGAGACUUGAACAUGGGAACUUGAAGAUGGAAACUUAAAUAUAAGUAGAAACAAUUUGUUUUUUUUUUGUUUUGUUGUUGUUAAACUAUCUUUUUUGUUUUUAGUAUAAUGCUCCAAAUUAAUCAAGGAUUGAUAUGAUUUAACCAUAGUUAAUUUUAUAUAUUUUGUAAGAUAUUAUGUUAAUUUUCAAUAUAUAUACAUACAUAUAUGGUGUGAAGCUUUCA